rnacentral:rRNA from 1 species
GACGAACGCUGGCGGCGUGCUUAACACAUGCAAGUCGAACGGAAAGGCCCUGCUUUUGUGGGGUGCUCGAGUGGCGAACGGGUGAGUAACACGUGAGUAACCUGCCCUUGACUGUGGGAUAAUUUAAGGAAACUGGGGCUAAUACCGGAUAGGAGCUCCUGAUGCAUGGUGGGGGUUGGAAAGUUUCGGCGGUUGGGGAUGGACUCGCGGCGGAUCAGCUUGUUGGUGGGGUAGUGGCUUACCAAGGCUUUGACGGGUAGCCGGCCUGAGAGGGUGACCGGCCACAUUGGGACUGAGAUACGUCCCAGACUCCUACGGGAGGCAGCAGUGGGGAAUAUUGCACAAUGGGCGGAAGCCUGAUGCAGCAACGCCGCGUGCGGGAUGACGGCCUUCGGGUUGUAAACCGCUUUCGCCUGUGACGAAGCGUGAGUGACGGUAAUGGGUAAAUAAGCACCGGCUAACUACGUG